AUUUAAGAGAGGAGUGGGAUUAGGGAGGAGUGAAUGAUGUUGGUGAUGAGGGGGAAAAGUGGGGAGAGGCAGGUUUUAACAAGAGCUGUAGGGAUUGGAUCGAGCUGACUGGUAGAGGGUUUGGAUUUGAGGAUAGAUUCAGAGAUGGCUUGGACAGAGGGGAGAAUAAAACUGGAGAAUGUGGUUAUGGGGGAUGAGUAGGGAGCGGUGAAGUCCACUCCAGAGACUGCAGCUCCCCAUGAGGCCAGAUGUUGGUGAAUGUCGGAGAUUUUGGAGACAAAGAAAGACAUGAGUGAGUUACAGAAGUCAGUGGAUUGCAUGUGGUGGGAAGAGAGUCAGGCAGCUUUGUAAUAUUGGUGAGGAGAGAGAAGAGAGUUCUGGAGUUGUGUUGAUUGGACUGAAUGACACCAGAGUAAUAAGCAGAUUUAGUUAAAAGGAGACUGUCCUUGUAUAGCAUUACAUGAUUAUUG